AAAGUUUAUUGCCCGUACCCAAGGUGCUCCGCUUUAAUGUCAAAACAUGAACUUUUACAAGACGUGAAAUCGCGGGAUGUGGAAUUAUCAGGAGUUCGAAAAUGCUUGAAAUGUCAGUGCCUUUUUUGUAUCAACUGUAAAGUCCCUUGGCACAGAAACAGAACAUGCACCGACUACAAAAGGUUGACUCCUCAUCCCUCAGAAGAUACAAAGCUAAAGUCUCUUGCCUCAACGAAUCUGUGGCGCCAGUGUGUGAAGUGCAACCAUAUGAUUGAACUUGCUGAAGGUUGCUACCACAUGACUUGCAGGUAUUUACUUUUUAAUAUUAUUUUCAGUAAAUUAAAAACCUGAGAGAAUAAGAUUUGUUGUAACAUUACAAUUUGUUGCUGUUUUUGAGGUGUUGCACGCACAAUUGAUGUCAUAACUCGAAAAUUAAAAGGUCAUACCUUUGGCUGUUAUAUGAAAACUGUUGUAUUGUAUCGUAAUAGAAAAUUUGAAAGCUGUUGUAUCAAGUUUGCAAGCAACUCUAUCUACGUCAUCUUAUUACUCAUCCUAAUGCACUGAUCUCUUUUGCAGGUGCGGGCAUGAGUUUUGUUAUAAUUGUGGAGGCGAGUGGAAAGACAAAAAGGCAACAUGCUCAUGCCCACUAUGGGAUGAGGGUAAUAUUUUGUAUGAUGAAGAUGAUGAAGAUUUUGAUUUUGAUGAAGAGGAUGUGUUAGAGUCAGAUUCUGAGAGGUAUAUGAUUCUGACUCAGUCAUAAUGUUCUAACAUCCCCCUCUCUAAAGAGGCCUUCCCUCAAAUUUUCUCUGUUCGGAACAUAUUUUAUAAUAUUUACAACAACAACAACAAAGCCUUUUUCCACUAAGUGGGGUCGGCUAUAUGAAUCCUAGAACGCCAUUGCGCUCGGUUUUGUGUCCUGUCCUCCGUUAGAUCCAAGUACUCAAGUCUUUUCUUAGGGUCUCUUCCAAAGUUUUCCUAGGUCUUCCUCUACCCCUUCGGCCCUGAACCUCUGUCCCGUAGUCACAUUUUCGAACCGGAGCAUGAGUAGGACUUCUUUGCACAUGUCCAAACCACCGGAACCGAUUUUCUCUCAUAUUUCCUUCAAUUUUGGCUACUCCUACUUUACCUCGGAUAUCCUCAUUCCCAAUCUUAUCCUUUCUCGUGUGCCCAUACAUCCCACGAAGCAUCCUCAUCUCCGCUACACCCAUUUUGUGUACGUGUUGAUGCUUCACCGCCCAAUAUUCUGUGCCAUACAUCGCUGGCCUUAUUGCCAUCCUAUAAAAUUUUCUCUUGAGCUUCAGUGGCCUACGACGGUCACACAACACGCCGGAUGCACUCUUACACUUCAUCCAUCCAGCUUGUAUUCUAUGGUUGAGAUCUCCAUCUAAUUCUCCGUUCUCUUGCAAGAUAGAUCCUAGGUAGCGAAAACGGUCACUUUUUGUGAUCUUCGCUAGAUUGCUCCGGUCAUUAGUGUGGAUAAGUAUAUAAAUGGAUAGAGAUAGGAAAGCAAACACAAGAUGUACGUGGUUCACCCAGAUUGGCUACGUCCACGGAAUAGAGGAGUUCUCAUUAAUUGUGAAGGGUUUACACAAGUACAUAGGUUCAGGCUCUCCUUUAGUGAGUACAAGUGAAUGAUUUAGUACAAAUGAUAUUAGGAAAUAUUGUGGGAGAAUGAUCUCGUAGCCACGAAACUUCUAAGUACCGGAGUGUGGUAUCGUCUUGACUUGCCUUAUCUGUCUCAUAGGUAGAUGUGGCAUCUUCUCUGGAAGUACUCUUCCUCCCUCCAGGGGUGGUAUCUGUAACUGAUGGAGAUGCACAAGGUAAUGUAUCAAUUUCACUUGAAGCUUACUUGUAGUUUCAUGCUUGGUCAAGCGCGAUACAAACCAUGUAGUAGGAGUCCCCCAAGUUGCCGAGCUAGGGGAUCUGCUGAAAGAGGUGACAGACAAGGUAAGCAAUCAGAGCUCCGGCUGAUUGUUCACAUUCUCCCUAUCUUGCAGGCAGCAUGAAGGAUAAAGAGAAGAAAAAUGAGAAGAGAUGAUAUGGGAUACUUUUGCUUUUGAAGAAGUAACUUUCCACAGGCUUAUUCUUGAACUGGGCUGGAGGGUUUUCUGGUUUCCUCCAGAGUAUAAGGCCGACUGAAGAAUUUGAGGGUCAAAACAAGUCCAUCAAAUCUAGAGUACGUUCGACCCUACUGAUAUGGGAUACUUUUGCUUUUGACAGAGUAGUGGAUGUAUCGGCACGUGUGCUGUUACGCUUGUCUCCACAUGCUUCCUUGUAUCCUUCUCACUUGCCCUAUCUGUUCCUCAGGCAGAUGCGGUAUCUUCCCUGGAAGCAUAAGAUGUUGAAGAUGAGUACUCGAGAGCAAUGCCAGGUAAGUAAUCAGGUAAGGGUUCCAGGCAGUCAGUUCCUGGUUGGAAGCUUGAUUCCAAGUGCUGACUGAUUGCUCUCUUUCUCCUUGUCUUACAGGUAAGAACAAGGCCAAGGGAAAAGACAGGGAAAAAGCAUGAUAUGGGAUACUCUUGCUUUUAACCCUGAUGAUAUGAGAUAUUCUUGCUCUAGUAUAGCUUGUUUACAGAGGUAUUAUCGGGGGGAAAGAAAGCUGAAUAUUUCGAAAGGCUUCGUUGGGAGUGCCCUCUCAGAUAGGAGAAAGGGUUGAGCAUUUUUGCAGGUCUGCCUGUCCGUUAGGGAUGGAGGUCGACAUAUAUAGGAGUCUCCCUAACAUCAAGUAAUAAUGCUAUUCCUUUACCCUGCUUGGUCAUAGCACGGUAGUGGGAGCUGCCAGCUUCACAUGUUUUAACUCUGUCAGAGCACUUUGAAAAAGUGGUCUGUGGUAUCUGGAAAGCUGAUGUUGCGUGUGAAGAUUACAGACAAUCUUUAUCCAAGGAGAUCCAGCUCUUGAAGUUGGGAAAGUGGUGUCUCUUCGGUUUUCGAACAAGCAAUCCUGUCGGGGAUCUGGCUCUCGAGAUUCGGAGAACGAUGCAUCUUCGAUUUUUGAGAAAGCAAUCCUGCUGGGGGUCUGGCUCUCGAGAUUCGGAGAGCGGUGUCUCUUCGAUUUUUGAGAAAGUAAUCAUGUUGGGAGUCUGGCUUUCGGGAUUCGGAGGGCGGUGCCUCUUCGAUUUUGGAGCAAGCAAUCUUGUUGGGAGUGUUUUCUCGAAUGUGAGUAAAGGUUGGGCAUGUUUGCUAGUCUACCUUGCCACGAAGCACAGAGGUUGACACACAGGGACUUUCCAAUUAUCCAGCAGUGGUACUGUUCCUUUACCCUCUCUUCGAUUUUUGAGAAAGUAAUCCUGUUGGGAGUCUGGCUCUCGAGAUUCGGAGGGCGGUGCCUCUUCGAUUUUGGAGCAAGCAAUCUUGUUGGGAGUGUUUUUCUCGAAUGUGAGUAAAGGUUGGGCAUGUUUGCUAGUCUACCUUGCCACGAAGCACAAAGGUUGACACACAGGGACUUUCCAAUUAUCCAGCAGUGGUACUGUUCCUUUACCCUCUCUUCGAUUUUUUGAGAAAGUAAUCAUGUUGGGAGUCUGGCUCUCGAGAUUCGGAGGGCGGUGCCUCUUCAAUUUUGGAGCAAGCAAUCUUGUUGGGAGUGUUUUCUCGAAUGUGAGUAAAGGUUGGGCAUGUUUGCUAGUCUACCUUGCCACGAAGCACAGAGGUUGACACACCGGGACUUUCCAAUUAUCCAGCAGUGGUACUGUUCCUUUACCCUUGUGGGUAAUAAUAUGGUAGCUAGACCUUCAAAAUUUAUGUGUCUAAACUUUGUUAGUGUUGUUUCUUUGCAAUUCUUUUACCCUUCUUGGUCAGAGCGAUGUAGUGGAAGCUGCAAGCUUCACGUGUCUCAACUUUGUCAGAGAACUUUGGCAAAGUUAUCUGUGGUACCCAUGAGCUACUGUUGCGUGUAGGAAGUGGGUGAUUGAACAGUACGAUUCAUGUGCUUUCUACUUCGCCAGAAAUCUUCGACAGAAUGCCCAUAAUUUCCGCAAAGCUGAGUGUGCGUGUGACAGGUGCUGACAAGGCUGGAAAAGUAGGUGCCUCUUCGAUUUCUGAGAUCGGCCCUCGUGGUCUCUGAGCAGCCCAACUUUUGAGAAAGCAAGCCUCUUCGAUUUCUGGGAUCGGCCUUCGUGGUCUUUGAGCAGCCCAGCUUUUGAGAAAGCAAACGCCUCUUCGAUUUCUGAGAUCGACCCUCGUGGUCUCUGAGCAGCCCAGCUUUUGAGAAAGCAAAUGCCUCUUCGAUUUCUGAGCAGGCGCCUCUUCGAUUUCUGAAGCUUCGUCGAGUGCAGAUUUUUAUAGGGGCUGACAUUAAGUUCCAAAGCACACUUGAAUAUCCACCAGUAGAAGCUCCGUUCUUGCACUUCUAAGAUCUUGAUUUGUCCGACCUCUUCUCUCUUCAACACCUUUGAAAAUGUCUGGCCCCUCCGACCGUCGUUUUGACUUGAACCUUGUUGAAGAGGCAGCCCCGCCUUCUCCAGACAACAUAUGGCGCCCAUCCUUCGUCUCCCCUACUGGUCCUCUUACCGUUGGGGAUUCCGUGAUGAAGAAUGAUAUGACCGCUGCGGUAGUGGCCAGGAACCUUCUCACUCCCAAAGAUAACAGACUACUUUCCAAACGGUCUGAUGAGUUGUCUGUUAAGGAUUCUCUGGCUCUCAGUGUUCAGUGUGCAGGUUCUGUGUCUAAUAUGGCCCAACGCCUAUUUGCUCGAACCCGCCAAGUUGAAUCAUUGGCGGCUGAAGUGAUGAGUCUCAAACAGGAGAUUAGAGGGCUCAAGCAUGAGAAUAAACAGUUGCACCGGCUCGCACAUGACUAUGCUACAAACAUGAAGAGGAAGCUUGACCAGAUGAAGGAAUCUGAUGGUCAGGUUUUACUUGAUCAUCAGAGAUUUGUGGGUUUGUUCCAAAGGCAUUUAUUGCCUUCGUCUUCUGGGGCUGUACCGCGUGAUGAAGCUCCAAAUGAUCAACCUCUGAUGCCUCCUCCUUCUAGGGUUUUGUCCAGUACUGAGGCUCCGAAUGAUCCCCCUCCGGUGCCUUCUCUUUCUGGGGCUCUACCGACUGCUGAGACUUCUCCUAAGCAACCUUUGUGAAGGCUCCCUCUUGUUUGUUUAUUUUGACUCAAGUAUAUGUACAUAUUUGUAACUUAUCGGGGAUAUCAAUAAAUAAGCUUUCCUUCAUUUCAACGUAUUGUGUUAAAUACACCAAAGCCUUCUUCGCUAAGUUCUUUGAAUUUUCUUUUGUUGAAGCUUGUAUGUUGAACCUUGUAUGUUGAAGCUUUGUGAGUGGAGCAUAUAGGUUGAGGUAGUGUUCCCUUAAUUUCCCGAGUGAGGAAAACUUCUCGGUUGGAGACUUGGAAAAUCCAAGUCACUGAGUGGGAUCAGCUAUAUGAAUCUUAGAACGCCAUUGUGUUCUGUCCUGUGUCAUGUCCUCCGUUAGAUCCAAGUACUCUAAGUCUUUUCUUAGUGUCUCUUCCAAAGUUUUCCUAGGUCUUCCUCUACCCCUUCGGCCCUGAACCUCUGUCCCAUAGUCGCAUCUUCUAAUCGGAGCGUCAGUAGGUCUUCUUUGCACAUGUCCAAACCACCGUAACCGAUUUUCUCUCAUAUUUCCUUCAAUUUCGGCUACUCCUACUUUACCCCGGAUAUCCUCAUUCUUAAUCUUAUCCUUUCUCGUGUGCCCACACAUCCACCGAAGCAUCCUCAUCUCCGCUACACCCAUUUUGUGUACGUGUUGAUGCUUCACCGCCCAACAUUCUGUGCCAUACAGCAUCGUCGGCCUUAUUGCCGUCCUAUAAAAUUUUCCCUUGAGCUUCAGUGGCAUACGGCGGUCACACAACACGCCGGAUGCACUCUUCCACUUCAUCCAUCCAGCUUGUAUUCUAUGGUUGAGAUCUCCAUCUAAUUCUCCGUUCUUUUGCAAGAUAGAUCCUAGGUAACGAAAACGGUCGCUCUUUGGUAUUUCUUGAUCUCCGAUCCUCACCCCUAACUCGUUUUGGCCUCCAUUUGCACUGAACUUGCACUCCAUAUAUUCUGUCUUUGAUCGGCUUCGGCGAAGACCUUUAGAUUCCAACACUUCUCUCCAAAGGUUAAGUUUUGCAUUUACCCCUUCCUGAGUUUCAUCUAUCAACACUAUAUCGUCUGCGAAAAGCAUACACCAAGGAAUAUCACCUUGAAUAUGUCCUGUUAACUCAUCCAUUACCAACGCAAAAAGGUAAGGACUUAAGGAUGAGCCUUGAUGUAAUCCUACAGUUAUGGGAAAGCUUUCGGUUUGUCCUUCAUGAGUUCUUACGGCAGUCUUUGCUCCUUCAUACAUAUCCUGUAUAGCUUGGAUAUAUGCUACUCGUACUCCUUUCUUCUCUAAAAUCCUCCAAAGAAUGUCUCUUGGGACCCUAUCAUACGCUUUUUCCAAAUCUAUAAAGACCAUGUAUAAAUCCUUUUUCCCAUCUCUAUAUCUUUCCAUCAAUCUUCGUAAGAGAUAGAUUGCCUCCAUGGUUGAGCGCCCUGGCAUGAACCCGAAUUGGUUGUCCGAAACCCGUGUCUCUUGCCUCAAUCUAUGCUCAAUGACUCUCUCCCAGAGCUUCAUUGUAUGACUCAUUAGCUUAAUACCCCUAUAGUUCAUGCAAUUUUGUACAUCGCCCUUAUUCUUGUAGAUAGGCACCAAAGUGCUCAUUCGCCACUCAUUCGGCAUCUUCUUCGUUUUCAAAAUCCUAUUGAAAAGGUCAGUGAGCCAUGUUAUACCUGUCUCUCCCAAAACUUUCCACACUUCGAUUGGUAUAUCGUCUGGGCCUACUGCUUUUCUAUGCUUCAUCUUCUUCAAAGCUACAACCACUUCUUCCUUCCGGAUUCUACGAUAAAAAGAGUAGUUUCUACACUCUUCUGAGUUACUCAACUCCCCUAAAGAAGCACUCAUUUCAUGUCCUUCAUUGAAAAGAUUAUGAAAAUAACCUUUCCAUCUGUCUUUAACCGCGUUCUCUGUAGCAAGAACCUUUCCAUCCUCAUCCUUGAUGCACCUCACUUGGUUUAGGUCCCUUGUCUUCUUUUCCCUUGCUCUAGCUAGUUUAUAGAUAUCCAACUCUCUUUCUUUGGUAUCUAGUCGCUUAUACAUAUCGUCAUAAGCCGCUAACUUAGCUUCUCUCAUAGCUUUCUUCGCCUCUUGCUUCGCUUUUCUAUACCUUUCACCAUUUUCAUCGGUCUUAUCCUUGUAUAAGGCUUUACAACAUUCCUUCUUAGCCUUCACCUUUGCUUGUACCUCCUCAUUCCACCACCAAGGUUCCUUUUGGUGUGGGGCAAAGCCCUUUGACUCUCCUAAUACCUCUUUUGCUACUUUUCGGAUACAACUAGCCAUGGAAUCCCACAUUUGGUUAGCUUCCCCCUCUCUAUCCCACACACACUGGGUGAUUACUUUCUCUUUGAAAAUGGCUUGUUUUUCUUCUUUUAGAUUCCACCAUCUAGUCCUUGGGCACUUCCAAGUCUUGUUCUUUUUUCUCACUCUUUUGAUAUGUACAUCCAUCACCAACAAGCGAUGUUGAUUAGCCACGCUCUCUCCUGGUAUAACUUUGCAAUCCUUACAAGUUAUACGAUCCCUUUUCCUCAUUAGAAGAAAAUCUAUUUGUGUUUUUGACGACCCACUCUUGUAGGUGAUCACAUGUUCUUCUCUCUUCUUAAAGAAGGUGUUGGCUAAGAAGAGAUCAUAUGCCAUUGCAAAAUCCAAGAUAGCUUCCCCAUCCUCGUUUCUCUCUCCCCAAAACCAUGGCCACCAUGAAAACCUCCAUAGUUGCCUGUCUCCCUGCCCACGUGUUCAUUUAAAUCUCCUCCUAUAAAUAAUAACUUCUCCGUCUGAGCAAUUCCUUGCACCAAGUCUCCAAGGUCUUCCCAAAAUUUCUCCUUCGAACUCGUAUCCAACCCUACUUGAGGUGCGUACGCACUAAUCACAUUGAUAAGUUCUUGUCCUAUUACAAUCUUGAUUGCCAUGAUUCUAUCUCCUACCCUCUUGACAUCUACAACAUCUUGUGUCAAGGUCUUGUCCACGAUGAUGCCAACACCGUUUCUCGUUCUAUUUGUGCCCGAAUACCAUAGUUUAAACCCUGAGUUUUCUAGAUCCUUUGCCUUACGACCAACCCACUUAGUUUCUUGUAGGCACAUAAUAUUUAUCCUUCUCCUCACCAUAACUUCUACUACUUCUAUAGAUUUUCCCGUCAAGGUUCCUAUAUUCCACGUUCCUAAACGCAUUUUGCUCUCUUGAACUCUACCCUUCUGUCCUAGCUUCUUCACCCUUCCCCGUCUAAUAGGAUCAAAGUACUUCUUUUGUGUGUCCCGUGUAAAGUUGAUAGGAGCAUAUGCUCCCAAACAACUUUGAGUAGAGUCGUUCGAAAAGAAGUUUCUAUAGCCCCCUUGCUCAUUUAACACUGCAUCCGGGUGCCGAUGGAGAUACAGCGACCCUUGCUCACUUAUCACUGUGCUCGGGCCACACAGCGCGCCACUUACGGGUGACGCCCUAGCUUUAGCGCGAUUUCGUUCUGGAUUCAUUUUCAUAAGGAUUCGACGUGAUCAUGGAGUGCCGGCUGUCGACUACCUGACGCCCUCCCCCUCCUCCUUUAUCCGGGCUUGGGACCGGCAAUGUAAGAUAAACUUACACGGCGGAGUUAUAUUUUAUAAUAUUUAUGUCAAUAUAUUGUGCAAAGUAUAAAUCGAAUUUCUUUAUUUUGAUUCUCAACUGCUUGUUCACAAGGUUUUUCCAUCUCUUAAUUAUUGUAAAGAAAGGAGAACAUACAGUGAAAAAAGCCUGCACUGCCACAAUUGAGCUCAUAAAUAACGUCACAGGACAGAACGGACAGUUGAUGAUUACGGUGGACACACUAGGAUAGUGAAUAUGUUUUAUAAUGUUUUGUGUGUUGUGUGUGUUUCAGACUGUACCAUUGUUUGAGAUCUGCAUUUUUCUCGGUAUUAUGCUUAUCGUAAUUGAAAUCUAUCGAAGAUCUUUUCACUUAGUUUGCAAGUAACUAUGCUUAUGUCAUUUCGGUAAUCAUGUUCUUGCUGUUUUUGCUUUUGCAGACAUGCUCCUUGGUUUUGCUAUGACUGUGGACAGUCUACGGACUACAUGGGAGCAUGUUUAUGCCCAGUUUUGUUUGAAGAUGAUAUCUUGUUUGACGGAGAUAGUGAUACUCAGGAGUUGAAGAAAGAUGAAUAUGAAGGUGAAGUUGAGGAUGAAGGCCUAGAAGAAGACGGAUAUGAAGAUGAAAGUGGGCAGGAGGUUCAGGAAGAGAAGCAUAUCUUGCCUGCUGAAGAUGGUAGAGAUCUUGAUGAAGAAUACGAGGAAGAUGAGGAAUUCUGUGACUCUGACUGCGAAUGCUAUGAAGAUGAGGUUCAUGAGAAAGAGGUUCGAGAGGAUGUUCAGGAUGAAUGGUUGGAGCAAGGGCAGGAAGAUGAGAACUUCUAUGCGGAAAAUGAUAUAGAUUUUGGUGACGAAUAUGAGGAAGAUGAAGAGGAGUACUGGGACUCUGACUAUGAAUAUGAAGAGGAAGGAUUUGAAGAUGAAAGCGGGGAGGAGGAGGUUCAGGAAGAGAAUAAUAUCUUGCCUGCUGAAGAUGGUAGAGAUCUUGAUGAAGAAUGUGUGGAGGAUGAGGAGUUCUGUGACUCUGACUGCGAAUGCUAUGAAGAUGAAGUUCAUGAGAAAGAGGUUCGAGAGGACGUUCAGGAUGAAUGGUUGGAGCAAGGUCAGGAAGUUGAGAACUUUUAUGCGGAAAAUGAUACUGAUUUUGGUGACGGAUAUGAGGAAGAUGAAGAGUACUGUGACUUUGGCUGCGACCGCGACAGUGACUGCUACGACUCUAACUCAGAUUAUUACUGAUGAACAAAAAUAUGGCUGGUAUUCUUUGUACGAAGUAACCUGCAGAAGGGGCAAAAAAAUGGUGUUUGAAGUAUCAACAAAUUAUUUCUUUUUGUUCUCAAUUGCUUGUCCAUGAGGGUUUCUGUUUGAUCCGUCCGGUUUGACUUGUUUUAGUACAUAAGAGAGGGAGGAAAUGGUCGAAUGAGGACCCUCUCCGGAUCCUCUUUGUGAGAAUCCUAAGGAUCUUCAAAUCGUGUUCGUUUAUCGUAUAUCGUGCGGUCAGUUUUCAUCAGGUAUUAUUCAUAUUUAAUUAUAAAUAAAAGUAUUUAAAAUGAUUUAUGGUCGCACGAUGUACGAUAAACGGACACGAUUUGAGAAUUUCCGAGAUCCUCACAAAGAGGUUCCUCAUUCAACAGAGAUGAAAAAAUAGAAAAGAAUUGGGAGAUAAAAGGAAGCAGAGUACAUAAAGAGCUUUUAUAUUGGAAAAAAAGCUUUUAUUUUGAGAGUAAGAUUCUCUCUUCUCCUAUUACCAUCAUUAUCCGUCCUUUCUUUUCACACUUUUCUUUUUGUCUUUUUCUCUAUAUAAAAAAUUCAAACAAAAUGUUGACUCGAUUUAAUCGUAACUGUUUAAAUAGGAAUGAAAGGGAGAGAGAAUCCUACUCUUUUAUUUUGUAAGGCUUUUUCAGCAAGUUUUCUUUAGUAAUACGUGCAAUAGAAAACGUGAAUAGCUAUAAAAUAGAAGAUUUACUUGUUGUGAAAGUCAAAUUCAACUGCUAAAACGUGAAUAGUUAAAUUUUAAUUUUAAAUUGUCUUUUUUACCAUAUUGCAUAAUUGCUAUCAAGUACAAAAUGAUAUUACAAUAAAAUUAAAAUUUAUCAAUAAACUCACACUCAAUAAUUAAACCCUAUCAUUAGCAAUCUUUAUCUUCCGUUCAUCUUGGCUAAAACCAAGAGCUCUCAUAAAGAAAAACAAGCUCUUUUUGAUCCAUGGAUGAUGAUUUUGAAGUUUUGAAUCUUCUAACUAAAGCAUGAAUCGAUUUAUGCAAGUUUUUUUCGUUUGUUUUCAAAUUUUUUUAGAGUUUAGAAACAAGAAUCAAUGAUUGUGGAGUUUCUUGAGAAUUUUCAUCUUUUACUUCUCAAUAAUAGUUACAAAUUCGCAAGAAAGCAUCAUUCUACGUUGUCUGCACUAAAAUAGCAAUAACGUCUCCUAGAAAUAUUAGAAUCACGAACCGUAAAAUUCUCCAUAAACUAGAUGUCCAGAUCUUUCCCAACAUAUAAGGCUCAAAUUUGGUUUGUCUCGAGGAAGUACAGUUUAAUAUUCAAACUUCACAGAUAUGUACAAUAAAUCUUUGAUUUUGGGAUGUCUAAACUAAAAUAGCAAUAAUGUCUUUUAGAAUCAAAAUCACGAACUGUAAUUUUAGGGCAAUGCUAAGGGAUCAUCUAUUUAAAUCAUGUUUUGUAAAUUAUAUGAUGUGGAUGGAGCCAAAAUUGUGACGACCCGUCCCUAAUUUUAUGUUUUUACAAAUUUUAAAAGCAUUAUUUUACGAAAAUGCCCUAGAGGUGAGGGUAUUGACUUUCGUUGACCAACGUUUAGUGAGACAUACGACUUAUUCUUUUAGCGUAUUUGCGUAGUAUCCAGUGAUACGAAUGCAUAGACUCAAGAGGAAGUGAAUUUGGAGCUACGGUUAAAGUUUUACGAAACUAUAUCUGAAAAGUACGUUUCUAAGGUUUUCCAUUUAUUAUUUUAUGUAUUUCAUAAGUAUUAUUAUAUUAGUUUAAGGUUAUUUAGAGAAAAAAGUGACUGGGCAGAACUGCCCAAUCGGAGACAGAAGGAACGAAUCAGAAGAAAGGAGGAAAAGGGAAUAACCAACCAGAGAGGAAAGGAAGGAGGGAAAUGAGAGAGGGAGGGGAUUCGAACCCCCUCGACCCUGAAAGUCCUUAGACCUGCUUGUCGGCUCGGUUUCUAGGCAAAGAAAUUCGACAAGUUUUCAAUGAAAUUCCGGCGAAUUAAGUCGAGUUUCCACCUGGAAACCUCUCACCAUCGUUCCACCUUCCUUUAUCAUACAAAAAUGGGGUUGUUUGGGCUCGAUUUUGGAAGAAUCGAAGUCGUGGGCUUAGAGGACACCCGGCGACAAUUCGCCCUUUUUUGCAACCAUUCCCGUUGAUCUCCACCAUCAAAGAACUUCUCUGGAGGCCAGGAACAAAGCCCAAACAGUUUUAGGGGCAGUGGUGUUGCGGAUUAAUCGAAUUGAAGAACACCCAAAUUCUAAGGUUCCAGCGGUUCGUGGGUGAUUUUAGAUGUUUCCCAGCUAAAUUAGACUUGGCCACAUGUAUAAAGUUUACUCUACUCAUUGAGACCUACAAUUAUGUAAAAUUUGAUAAUUUUUAGAAAUAGUUGACUUUUCCAGCGAGUUAAAAUGGCCGACCGCCACCCACGGCAGCGCGUGGCCAGCGGACUAUUGAUGCUACUUUUAGGCCAAAUUAGAUAUCUGAAAUUCAAUUAUGAUAUUCAUAUAACGUAGGUUGAUCAUUUGAACCUAAAUGCAUUACGUUACUUAGUAAAAAUGUGAAUCGACGAUCCGAUUGUUGGAUCGUUACCAAACUUUAAUAUGUUAUAGUACGUAAUAUCUGAGGAUCAUAGGAACUUAUGGAUCAGGAAUCCGAUAUACGGAUCUUCCCGAAUUGAAUUUGUAAGUCCAUAAAAUAAAAUGUUAACCGCCACUUGGUUUUAGCAAUUGGCAGAGAUCCGACCGUUGGAUCGUUUCGAAACUUUAGGAUGUGUUCUAAAAGUAUAAUGUGGAUCUUUGGAAGUAACGGAUCGAAAAUUGAAGAUGCAGAUCUUCCGAAUCAAACUACGUAGGGAUGUGUUUUAUGUUAGUUACUUAUUCUAUCGAUAAGAUUUCUUAGACAUGAUUUGAUAAUUGUUCUAGGUGCUAAUUGUUCAUGACGCCUUGAUGUGUGUGCUAGGGGGUUGUAGUGGGGAAUCCAGGUGAGUGAGCUUUUGGUUUUCAGUAUAUGUAUAUAUGCUUGGUAUUUUUCCUAGAAACCUUAUUUAAAUGGUUUUAUGUUUUGAAAUGCCAUGCCAAAUGUUUCAUACUUAGAAUAUGCAUUUUAGUAGUUGCAUAUAUUAUGGUUGAUGCUGUGGACACUCAGGUAAGCUUCAGGUAAGUAUAUAUUGAUGGUAGUGAUGGUAGUGAGUAUGAUUGUGUUGAGAUGCAUUUAUAGCUCAUUUUCCUGCACCCCGGUGUUAGUGCUCUACUUGAGGACAAGGCCUAGCCUUCACGUGAUCUUUCACCUCCCGCACCACUUGCUCACCUUGGAUCCAAGGCAGGUGUCAACCUGUCGUACAUACCACAUUAGGUGGUUCCGACUCGUAGGUGACUUGCGAUACUUCGCAUAGCCUUCACGUGAUCGUAACACUUGAGGGUAUUUAUUUACACCCAGUCUGUCGUACAGACCACAUGAGGUGGUUUCGACUCAUGUGCAGGGAAUGAGUUGAGGAGCUAUAGACUCAGUCGUACAGGUCACGUUAUGUGACUCCGGCUUGCAUACCAUUUCAUAUUGAUUUAUUUCACCUGGCAUACUUAUUUCUUUGCUAAGAUAUUUGACAUGGCAUAUUUGGGGAUUUCUUAUUUUGAGUACGGUUUUGAGAUAGAUAUGCAUGCUAUUUUCUGGGAAAUUAUACAGGUUUUACAGCGAGGGGUUACUACCUUUGGUAAUGGAAAUGGUUUUUGAAAAGCUUUGUUUUUGUCCACUCACACUUUCUGUUUUGCGCCCCUCCAGGUUUUAAUUGCUAAAAGUUUGUAUCGACGAGGAUUCUGGGCAAAUAUCAGGAUAGGUGGCUACUUUUGAGGGUACAAUCCCUAUCCAUUCUACUGUACUUACUUAUUGUCACAGCCCAUCCCAAAAAUUCAGUUAUCGUGGGUGUGAAAUGAUAGAAUUGCCCUUAGCGGUUGCUGAGGUAUGUGUGACAUAUUAUUUGAUGUGCAUACUUUUCUAAAUUUUGGAAAUUUAAUUGGAUUAAAAUUGUAUGCAUUUUUUUUAUCUGGUUAGGGACUUCGGUGGACCACAUACCCUCACCAUCUAACUCCUUUCUCUCUCCUAUCCCGUGCCCUGUCUCUCUCUUCCCUCCCAGUUGCUUUCUUUCUCUCUCUCUCGAACCGUACGGACAAGAACCCAAAAUCCCUCAAAACAUCACAGAUCGACGCCAAUAAGGUGAGUUUCUUCAUCCUUACAACCUCCUGAGUUGAAUGGUACCAUUUUUGGAACUUAGAAUCUUCAAAAUCAUGUGAAAUCCAAACCCCAGUUUGAUGUCACUAUUCAUGCACACGUGAAUUGUUGAUUUUCAGGGAAUUCUAAGCUUACAGGGAGCUUAGUGAGGUUCCAAGGAAGCUCAGAGUACUUAGUUUGAAGGUUUUGGACGUCGGGAUCGUAGGGUUCGAAGUUGGCCGGUUUUCUUGGAUUUUCUCCGGUGAGAUUUCGUAAUUUUUAGAGCCUUAAACUAGUACAACGUGAUUCUACAUGCUUAGGGCUUCAUUUUGAUAUAAAAUGCGUAGAAAAUGGUGGAGAAAUGACGGAGAACAAGGAGAUUGAAAAAUCUCCAGUUUUUCGGCGCCGGCGAAACCAAUCCGGCGACUGGAGGAAGAAGAUGACGCGCGUGGGUCCGUGCCCCUCCCGGCACGUGGGGGCGCGUGGCAAGUCCAAAAUUUUUUCUAAAAAUAUCUCGACGUCCGUGACGUCGAGUAGGUCACCAUGGUAUAUUCAUAUACCCAAAUUGAGCAUCGUAUGAGAAGUUAUUACGUAUUGUUGGUUAUGCGCUUUAAAUAAUGUUUUUAUAGUUGUUUCGCAUAUAGAUGAUACCUAUCCCGAGGACGAGCGCAUUCAAGGACGUCACGGGGGUUACGACCCUUCGACUUACCAGUGAGUGGGCAGUAUUUUCUAUAUUUACCUAUAUACUAUUGAUUUUUCCCAGAAAUUUAAUUUAAAUGAAAGUGUGUUUUACAAUGCCAUGCAUGCAUAUUAUGAAAUAUGUGAAUUAGUAUUUGAUGCAUAUAUAUGUGAAUUGGUGUUGUGGACACAUAGGUGAGUAUCAGGUGAGUUUUAUAUUAAUCAUGUGAUUUAAGGCUGGUUUGGUAUUGCUGUGCUUUGAAAAAAAAAACUGAUGUGAGAAUAAGCGGCUGUGAAAUAAAUCAGCAGAGUGUUUGGUAAAUUUUUUUGUAAAAAUGCUUUUGGAAAGAAAAAAAAGCAGUCUGAUAGUGGGUCUUUUCAUUAAAGGAGCAUUGUAGCUCCGUGUGCUUUGAAAAAAAACCAGUUUUCCAUAGCUGCAAAUAGCAGCUUCAGUUUUUUCCUUUGAUUUCAGCUUAUUCUCACAGCAGCUUCCAAAAUAAGCCUUUUUUUUUCAGUUUACUAAACACCUAAAACCCUCACAGUUUUUUUUCAUGGGUGCUUUUUUUUUAAGCACCUCACUCCCAAACCACCCCUUAUUGUGAUGUGAAUUGUGUUGAAAGCUCAAACCUACACCCCUGGUGUUAGUGCUUAUAUUAUUCACCCCGCACCACACGCUCACCUUGGAUCCAAGUAGGUGCAUGUCAUACAGACCAUUAGAGGGUUCCGACAUGUCGUACAGACCAUGAGAGGUGGUUCCGACUUGUAGGUGAUUUUAGAUUAUUAUACAGCUGUUGAUGAGAGAAUCACUAGAGCGUAUUCUUAAACCUUUCUUAUCGUACAGACUACUUCAAGUAGUUCCGAUUUAUGUGCAGAGUAGUGUCGUACAGGUCACUGUGGUGACUCCGGUUGGAUUGAAUAUUGAGCUUUAGAAUUAACCGUACAGGACCAACUGCAGGGUCUCCGGUUGAUUCCUUAUUUCACCUGUUAUAAUGUUGCAUCCUUAUUCUGUUAUUGACGCUUAUUGCAUGGCAUGCUUUCUGGUUUUUGAUAAAGAUUUGUGAAUUAAGAUAUUUGAAGAUUUAUAUGCAUAUUAUGUUAUUUUCUGGGAAAGUAUACAGGUUUUAUAGCAAGGGGUUAGAAAUGUUAUUAAAUGAAAUGUUUUCGAAAAACUUUGUUUUACUGACCCACUCAAUUUUGUUUUGCACCCCUCUAGGUUCUAGUUAGCGGUGUGGUGGCACGAGGAUUCCCACGACGUUCUGAUAGACUACAUAAAUGUAGGACUCACCUUCGGGUGUUGUAAUUUAGUUAUGUUCCCACUUGACUGCAGCUAGUAUUUAUGCUCUGAAUAUGUGUAUUUCACACCUAAACUUAUUUUAGCAUGCUAGUUGGAUACUAUUGUUAGUAUUUGGUUUUUAUUUCUUCGUAUUACUCUGAUUUGUUGCUUCCGCGUCGCACUUUUGGUUACGUCACGCCCACGUGACGGCCAGCACGCCUUGAUUUUAGGAUCGGGGUGUGUCAGUUUGGUAUCAAAGCCUAGGUUGCAGUCUUGUAUAACUUGUUAAUGCUCUAAUGAUCUUUUGAUGUCUUCUGUCAGAACUAUGCCGCCUCGUAGGGAAUCACGUUGUGCUUCUGAGCCUAAUUUCCCUGACAUAACUUAAUUAGGGGAAGCGAUGGCCCAUGCCUUUCAGAAUGCAAUCCGUCAUCCUCUUCCUCAGAAGACACCCCUGGAGACUAUGUAUAAUCUGAAAUUAGACUGUUUCAUGGGUAAUGAGGGGCAUGAAGGGGCAGAAAAAUGGUUAAACCAUAUUGAGAAGACUUUUCAGGUGAUGCAGAGUCAAGGGAAUCUUCGUGCUAGUAGAUGGGUGGCGACCACUACUUGGUUUUUAGGGUGAGAGCCAGCAGCUUGGUGGGUAAAUCAAACUAAGUUUAUGUCACCUGAGAUGGCAGCUGAUUAGGAAGUAUUCAAAGAGAAUUUUAAGAAAAGAUUUGUUCCUCCGGAGUACAUUGAUCGUAAGAAGCAGGAGUUCACUCAAUUGAAGCAAAAGAAUAUGUCGGCGCAUGAGUAUUACAGGAAGUUUACAGACUUAUCUCGUUAUGAUCCUGAUACAGCUGGUAAUCAGGCAGAGAUGCUUCGCCGUUUUAAGCUGUGAACUAAGAGGAAAUGGCGAACUUUUGCUAGUGCACUUCCUUACGCCACUUAUCAUGAGUUUUCUGAGAUUUUGGUUUGGAUGGAGAAUUCCGACAACCUUCCUAGUAAUAGUGAAGAAGAUGAAGAUAAGAAUGAUAAUCAGAAGAAAGAUGACAGGGGUAAAGGUAUCUCCACUCAAGGACCCCGUAAGACACAAAAUUUCAAGAAAAGUGGAGCAAGCUCGAGUUCUUCCAGCGGAGGAUUUAGUGUCACGGGUCCGAUAAGAGGUGGAAGAUUUGCUGGUGGACCCAGGUUUUAGAGGCAGAGAGACUCUGGUGAUUCUGGUACUCCGUUGUGCCGCUAUUGUAACUUCAGACAUCAUAGAGAGUGCAGGAGAAGUGGUGGUGCUUGCUACACUUGUGAACAGUUGGGACAUAGGGCUACUCAAUGUCCCCAGAGUCAGCAGAGAUCUCAGCAGUCUGUUAUGCCACCUCCAGCGCCGAUUCAGCAGAACUUUGGAUCAGGCAGUUAUGGUCAAAUGGGUCGUGGUGGUGCUUACCACUAUCAGGGUGAUGCUGCUCCUUAUGCUUCCGGACAGAAUCAGUAUUCCCAGGAUCCUUAUUUUCAUACUGGGUAUUCCCAAGAUCUUGGAGGUUAUACUUCAUAUCCUUCCAUGCCAGCUAGUGGAUCUCAGUGGUAUCAAAGAGGUCAGCCGCGAUAGGGAGAGGUUGCUGCUAGCAGUGCAGGACCGUUUAGGCAGUCUAAUCAGCCAGGACAGGGACGUACUUCUCAGGGAUGAGGUAACCAAGGUAAUAAAGGUCGUGGUGGACGACAGCAAGCUCAGGGACGUGUUAAUCAUAUCUCACAGGGUCGUGAUGGAAGAUUUGCUGGUGGACCCAGGUUUUAGAGGCAGAGAGACUCUGGUGAUUCUGGUACUCCGCUGUGCCGCUAUUGUAACUUCAGACAUCAUAGAGAGUGCAGGAGAAAUGGUGGUGCUUGCUACACUUGUGGACAGUUGGGACAUAGGGCUGCUCAAUGUCCCCAGAGUCAGCAGAGAUCUCAGCAGUCUGUUAUGCCACCUCCAGCGCCGAUUCAGCAGAACUUUGGAUCAGGCAGUUAUGGUCAAAUGGGUCGUGGUGGUGCUUACCACUAUCAGGGUGAUGCUGCUCCUUAUGCUUCCGGACAGAAUCAGUAUUCCCAGGAUCCUUAUUUUCAUACUGGGUAUUCCCAAGAUCUUGGAGGUUAUACUUCAUAUCCUUCCAUGCCAGCUAGUGGAUCUCAGUGGUAUCAAAGAGGUCAGCCCCGAUAGGGAGAGGUUGCUGCUAGCAGUGCAGGACCGUUUAGGCAGUCUAAUCAGCCAGGACAUGGACGUACUUCUCAGGGAUGAGGUAACCAAGGUAAUAAAGGUCGUGGUGGACGACAGCAAGCUCAGGGACGUGUUAAUCAUAUCUCACUGCAAGAUGCUCAGAAUCAUCCGGACUUGAUUAUAGGUACGUUAAAUAUCCUCGGUCACUUUGCUAGAGUUUUGAUUGAUUGUGGUGCUACUCAUUCUGUGAUUUCUCAUACGUUUGCUCAAAUGACUCAACCUCACCCUACACAUCUAAGAUUUGAUUUAGAGUUUGCUAUGCCUAGAAGGGACAAAUGUUAUGUUGAUAGUGUUUAUCCAGGGUGUCCAGUGAUGGUAGAUGGUGUAGUUAUGCCAGCUAAUCUUAUCCCGUUAGAUAUUGUGGAUUUUGAUAUGAUUUUAGGGGCGAAUUGGUUGCAUUAUAAUCGUGCACAUAUAGAUUGUUACUGGAAAUCAGUUACUUUUCAUCGUCCUGGACUACCAGAGGUUACUUUUGUGGGUGAAAGAAGUGGGGUGAGACAUGGUGUUAUUUCUGCCAUGAGAGCAAAGAAGUUGUUAUCGAAAGGUUGUCAUGGAUACUUAGCACAUGUGGUGUUAAAUAAUGUUAUUCCUAACAGUGUAGAGGAAGUUGGAGUAGUCAGGCACUAUCCUGAUGUAUUCCCAGAUGAUUUGCCUGGAUUGCCGCCAGACAGAGAUGUGGAGUUUUCGAUUGAUUUGCUCCCAUGUACGGAUUCUAUAUCUUUGACUCCAUACAGAAUGGCUCCAGCUGAAUUGAGAGAGUUGAAAAUUCAGUUACAAGAAUUAACUGAUAAAGGUUUCAUUCAACCUAGUACUUCACCUUGGGGAGCUCCGGUGUUGUUUGUAAGAAAGAAAGACGGAACUUUGAUAUUGUGUAUUGAUUACAGGCAAUUGAAUCGGGUAACGAUUAAAAACCAUUAUCCAUUGCCUCGUGUCGAUGAUUUGUUUGAUCAACUUAAAUAUGCGUGUGUGUUCUCUAAGAUUGAUUUGAAAUCUGGCUAUUAUCAGUUGAAGAUUAAAGAUGAAGAUGUACCUAAAACGGCUUUCAGGACCCGUUAUGGGCAUUAUGAGUUUUUGGUGAUGCCAUUUGGAUUGACUAAUGCACCUGCAGCUUUCAUGAGGCUAAUGAAUGAAGUAUUCCAGCAAUAUCUUGAUAGAUUUAUCAUUGUUUUUAUCGAUGAUAUUCUGGUAUACUCACAGUCGAAAGCAAAUCAUAUUCGACAUCUUAACUUGGUAUUAAAGAAAUUGAUGGAGCAUCAGUUGUAUGCCAAGUUUAGCAAAUGUCAGUUUUGGUUGAAUCAAGUGGCAUUUUUGGGACAUGUAGUAUCGGCACAAGGAAUUCAAGUAGAUCCUCAAAAGAUUGCAGCAGUGGAGAAUUGGGAACAGCCACGAACCGUCACCGAGGUGCGGAGUUUUCUUGGUUUAGCAGGUUAUUAUCGACGGUUUGUUCAAGAUUUUUCUAUGAUUGCGUUGCCACUAACGAAGUUAACCAGGAAGGAUGUUAAGUUCGAGUGGGACGAGAAUUGUGAGCAAAGUUUCCAGCAGCUGAAAUAUUACCUCACUUAUGCUCCAGUAUUGGUACUUCCUGAUGAUAACGGUAACUUUGAGAUUUACAGUGAUGCUUCCUUGAAUGGUUCGGGAUGUGUCUUGAUACAGCAUAAUAGAGUGAUCGCAUAUGCUUUUCGACAGUUGAAGAUUCAUGAAAGGAAUUAUCCUACUCACGAUCUUGAGUUGGCAGCCAUUGUCUUUGCUUUGAAGAUUUGGAGGCAUUAUCUCUAUGGUGAGAAAUGUAAGAUCUUCACGAAUCAUAAGAGUCUUCAGUAUUUUUUUACUCAGCAUGAUCUUAAUCUUCGUCAGUGAAGGUGGAUGGAGUUACUAAGUGAUUAUGACUGCACUAUUGAGUAUCAUCCGGGUCGCGCAAAUGUGGUAAGCUGAUGCACUGAGUAGGAAACCUCAAGGUCGACUUAAUGCUUUGUAUGCUUGCCGUGUUCCUCUUCUUGCAGAUUUGAGAGCUACUGGAGUAAAGUUAGAGUUAGAAUAACGAAGAGAAGCUUUUCUUGCUAGUUUCCAAGUCAAGCCUGUUUUGGUCAAUCGUGUACUUGAAGCUCAGAUGAUUGAUGAAGAGAUUCAAGAAAUGAUUCAAUUGAGAAAUGAAAGGAAAAAGAAAGACCUCAGGAUUUGAGAAUCAGAUGGCAUGCUUAUGCAGGAGAACAGAAUGUAUGUGCCGAAUAAUGAGGAAUUAAAUAAGGAAAUUUUGGAUGAAGCACAUUGUUCAGCUUAUGCGAUGCAUCCAUGAGGGACUAAGAUGUACCAUACCAUUCGACCAUUUUAUUAUUGGCCGGGUAUGAAAAGGGAAAUUGCAGAAUAUGUAAGUAGGUGUGCUGUUUGUCAGCAAGUCAAAGCAGAAAGAAAGAAGCCUUUUGGACGGAUGCAACCACUGCCCAUUCCUCAGUGGAAAUGGGAAAAUAUAACUAUGGAUUUUGUGUAUAAGCUUCCUCGUACACAUAAUGGAUUUGAUGGCGUUUAGGUAAUCGUAGAUCGGCUUACCAAGUCAGCACACUUCAUUCCAGUGAGGGAAAAGUAUCCCCUGAAUAAAUUGGCUAAGUUAUUCAUCACAAACAUUGUGAAGUCAUGGAGUUCCAGUGAAUAUUAUUUUUUAUCGAGAUCCAAGAUUUACUUCUAGGUUUUGGAUAGCUUUUUAGGAAGCUCUUGGUACAAAACUGCUUUACAGCACUGCUUAUCAUCCUCAAACCGAUGGACAAUCAGAGAGGACUAUUCAGACGUUAGAGGAUAUGUUGAGAUCUUCAGUGUUACAGUUUGGAGAUUCUUGGCAUGAUCGCCUAGACUUGAUGGAAUUUGCCUACAAUAAUAGUUUUCAUGCGAGCAUUGGUAUGUCACCAUUUGAGGCACUGUAUGGUAGAGCUUGUCGUACGCCAUUGUGUUGGUCAGAGGUUGGCGAAAGAGUGCUAGAGGGCCCAGAGAUUGUGGAUGAGACUACUCAAAAUGUUCAGGUGAUUAAGUCUAACCUGAAAGCAGCCCAGGAUCGACAAAAGAGUUUAACAGAUAGACAUGCUACUGAUCGAGUAUAUGAUGUGGGUAAUUUGGUAUUCUUGAAAUUAUCACCUUGGAGAGGUGUAGUGCGGUUUGGAAAGAAAGGCAAGCUAAGUCCUAGGUAUAUAGGACCUUAUGAGAUCACUGAAAUGAUUGGUGAAGUUGCUUACAGAUUGGAGUUGCCUCCGAAGUUAUCUAAGGUACAUAAUGUGUUUCAUGUCUCGAUGUUUCGACAUUAUGUUUCAGACCCUUCACAUGUGAUUCCUCCUCAACCUUUGGAGAUUAAUCUGGAUUUGACGUAUGAUGAGGAACCAAUAACUAUCUUAGAUUGGAAAGACAAUGUUCGAAGGAAUAAAACAGUGAGAUUGGUAAAAGUAUUGUGGAGGAACCACUCAGUGGAAGAAGCUACUUGGGAAACAGAAGAUCGAAUGAGAGAGAUGUAUCCAAGGUUGUUUUAUGAGUAUUAGUGGAUUGAGUGUUGUAUGAAUUUUGAGGAUGAAAUUCUAUAAGGAGGGGAGAUUGUCACAGCCCGUCCCAAAAAUUCAAUUAUCGUGGGUGUGAAAUGACAGAAUUGCCUUUAAUGGUUGCUAAGGUAUGUGUACCGUAUUAUUUGAUGUGCAUAAUUUUCUAAAUUUUGGAAAUUUAAUUGGAUUAAAAUUGUAUGCAUUUUUUUUUAUGUGGUUAGGGACUUAGGUGGACCACAUACCCUUACCAUCAGACUCAUCUCUCUCUCCUAUCCCGUGCCUUCUCUCUCUCUUCCCUCUCAGUUUCUCUCUCUCUCUCGAACCGUACGGACAAGAACCCAAAAUCCCUCAAAACAUCAUGGAUCGAUGCCAAUAAGGUGAGUUUCUUCAUCCUUGCAACCUCCUAAGUUGAAUGGUACCAUUUUUGGAACUUAGAAUCUUCGAAAUCACGUGAAAUCCGAACCCCAGUUUGAUGUCACUGUUCAUGCACACGUGAAUUGUUGAUUUUCAGGGAAUUCUAAGCUUACAUGGAGCUUAGUGAGAUUCCAAGGAAGCUUGGAGUACUUAGUAUGAAGGUUUUGGACGUCGGGAUCAUAGGGUUCGAAGUUGGGCGGUUUUCUUGGAUUUUCUUCAAUGAGAUUUCGUAAUUUUUAGAGCCUUAAACUGGUACAACGUGAUUCUAAAUGCUUAGGGCUUCAUUUUGAUAUAAAAUGCGUAGAAAAUGGUGGAGAAAUGAUGGAGAACAAGGAGAUUGAAAAAUCUCCAGUUUUCCGACGCCAGUGAAACCAGUCCGGCGACUGGAGGAAGAAGAUGACGAGCGUGGGGGCGCGUGGCAAGUCCAAAUUUUUUUCUAAAAAUAUCUAGACGUCUGUGACGUAGAGUGCCGUACAGGUCACUGUGGUGACUUCGGUUGGAUUGGAUAUUGAGCUUUAGAAUUAACAAUACAGGACCAACUGCAGGGUUUCCGGUUGAUUCCUUAGUUCACCUGUUAUAAUGUUGCAUCCUUAUUCUGUUAUUGACGCUUAUUGCAUGGCAUGCUUUCUGGUUUUUGAUAAAGAUUUGUGAAUUGAGAUAUUUGAAGAUUUAUAUGCAUAUUAUGUUAUUUUCUGAGAAAGUAUACAGGUUUUACAGCGAGGGGUUAGAAAUGUUAUUAAAUGAAAUGUUUUCGAAAAGCUUUGUUUUACUGACCCAUUCAAUUUUGUUUUGCGCCCUUCCAGGUUUUAGUUAGUGGUGUGGUGGCACGAGGAUUCCCACGACGUUCUAAUAGACUACAUAAAUGUAGGACUCAUCUUCGGGUGUUGUAAUUUAGUUAUGUUUCUAUUUGACUGCACCUAGUAUUUAUGCUCUGAAUAUGUGUGUUUCACACCUAAACUUAUUUUAGCAUGCUAGUUGGAUACUAUUGUUAGUAUUUGGUUUUUAUUUCUUCGUAUUACUCUUAUAUGUUGCUUACGCGUCGCACUUUUGGUUACGUCACGCCCACGUGCCGGCCAGCACGCCUUGAUUUUAGGAUCGAGGUGUGUCACUUAUGCUCUAACGUCAUGUGUGAAGUGGGUUCAUUCCUGCUCACUAGCACACUCUGGUAUUUAGGCACUCUUAGGUUUAAAUUUAUUCACAUUUGUUCCACAUCAUCACACUUUAUGGCUUCGUCCCCUUCCACGUGUCGACCAACACAGCUCGAUUCGGAGUCCUAGUGGACCUUCCGAGUCAUGGUGUGUCAAAAAUAAUUCGAAAUUUUUUGGAGAUGACACAUGGACUUUUACUCGAAGAAGACAAAAAUGUUCUUCUUAAAUUAACGAGGCUCACAUUUAAUCUACACGCAGUUCAACAUUCCUGAAGACGUGAGCACCUAACUACAACUCAUCAAACUCUCAUGCCCCCUGCCUAUGGCAAGGAGAGAGAAGAUUCGAAUUUAACACCUUUCUACAUCAAAAACAUAAUUCAAAGACAACAAAUAUUCCCAAAGUAAAACAUUUCCAUUCUAGAAUAGAAGUACAACCAUGAUUGUGGCUAGUGAGGAAGGAAUAGAUAUUGAAUGGUGCUACCAAAACAUACAAUACUGCAAUAAUUUUAAACAAAUAUCUAACCGUUACAAAGUAUAAAACAUAUACUAUUUCAAAUCGAAGCUUUUUGAAGUACUCCGAGUACUGGAUACAAAUUAGAGCUUUUUUAAAUACUUUGAAAAAUAAGGUAUGUUGAAAAUUUUGACCGUUAGAUUUUUUUUAUUUUUAUUAAGGAUAACAUACUUUACCAACAACAAACUUUACAACGCAAAGAACCAGAUUUUUUUUGUUUUUAUUAAGGAUAACAUACUUUACCAACAACAAACUUUACAAUGAAAAGAACCAAAUUUUACAACAAAAAGGCCCAAAAAAAAAAAAAAAAAAUCGAUACUCUGGGGCACCCGAAAACCCCUGAACAUCAACCUAUAUAUACGACGCGACGACAGCCCCCUUUACUCUACCCUCUGUCUGUCUACAUGGCCACCGGAGUCUCACCCGAAGACGACGACGUAUUCGUCUCGGUCUCCGAGCAACGCCGCGAGUUCAUGGAAGCCAAAGCCUUAGAGUCCGACAUGGAUCUCGCCUUCCACCUCCAACUCCAAGAGGCCCUUGCUGCCUCCCUCACCCUCCAACCCUCCUCCUCCUCCGCCCAAUCCCUGGAAAAAGACGCCGUUCCGAUCAUCCCCGACACUCCAACUGUCGUCUCCAUCCAGUCCGGCGAACUCGCGAGGCUGGAGCAGGAAUUGAAAGACCGUGAGCAGAGCGAGAUCGAAAUGCGGAAAGCCAGAGAGGAUCUCGAGCGUCGGAUUCACGACGAUCAGGUCGCGAGGGAGAUCAUGAGGAUUCCGGAGGAGGAGUGGGAGGAGUCCGGCGAAUUCUUCUCCAUGCCGUUCGGCGAAGGAUCAUCCUCUUAUUCAGCUUCGGCGAAGAGCGUCGAGAGCGAGAGCGUAUUCAGGCUAUACUUCAAGGGUUGGUGAGCGAGGAAAGGGUUGGGAAGGAGAGGGCGGCACUGGCAGGAAUUGGGGCGGCGCUGUGCGAUCCGAGGGACAAUUUGUUGUUCGAGGUCAGGAAGCCGCUGAUUGGGAGCGGGACGAGCAGCAGUGGGGCCCAGUUGAAGGCCUUGAUCGAAGGGCUGAAUGCUGCUCUUGCUUUGGAUUUGAAGCGCCUCACCUUCUUCUGUGAGAAUCGCCACAUUUUCCAGUUUGUAAGUUGCUCUCUUCUCUUUAUCUGCGUCUCUGUUGUGGGUUUUCGAUGAAAUGUAGUUUUUGUGGUAAAUUUUAGGAAUUGAAAUGUGGGUUUUGCGUUUCAGUACUGUUCUAUCUUUGAACACUAAUAAACUUUCGAAAUUCGAUAAUGGAAUGUGUAGUAUCCAUGGUGGACAGGAUAAUGCACUCACUCUGAGAAAGUUUAGUUGUCUUCUGUUAAUAUUUGCUUAAUUAAGCUUCUAUACUAUAUUUGGUUAUGGAAUUUGACACUGACCUUUAUUAAAACUUUUGCGAAAGACAAAUAAAAGAAUGCAACUUGUUAUUUUUAAUAGUUGCAAUGUUCUCGGAAUUGUAUGUGGGUUGUGUGAAUUUCUGUUUCCCAUCUUGGACAAUAGUUUGAACUUUCAUUUUUCAGAUUCACUUAAUGAAAUUUGAUUGAACAAAUUUACUGUGAAAAUUUUUCUUCGUGUUCUCAGCAUUUGCUUAAUUAGUCGUCUGUCUUAUAAUUGAUUAUGGACUUUAUGGUUUGAACUUAUUAGAGAGAAUGGAAUAUGUUAUGAAUUAUGAUAUGAUGUAAGCAAUGUUAUUUUAUUUAUGUCGAAACCAAGAAUGUUGGAUCAGCUAGUUAGGAUGCUUGAGUCUCUUUACACCCAUAAAUGGAGCUUGUUGGCAUUUUAAAUAUGUAUUUUACAUAUGCAGAUAACUGGUAAAUGGACAGCAAAGCAGCGCAAGGUAGCAAUGCUUGUCAGUCAGGUUAAGAGCCUUCAAGCAAAGUUUACAGUUUGCAAUCCAAUUCUUGUGCCCCGAUUUGAUAUUAAAUUUGCAUUUAAACUAGCAAGAGAUGCAAUAGAUUCUCAGUCUCAGACUAACCAGCCUGCACAAUCUAUCACUUCCAAGAAUGUGAAUGAGACUUGCGUGAUAUGUUUGGAAGCUACUGAUGUUAACCAAAUGUUUUCAGUUGAUGGCUGUCUGCAUCGGUAUUGCUUUUCUUGUAUGAAACAACAUGUAGAGGUGAAGUUGCUUCAUGGGAUGAUUCCUAGAUGCCCUCAUGAAGACUGUAAGUCUGAUCUUACUGUUGAUAGUUGUGCAAAAUUCUUGACACCUAAACAUGUGGAGACUAUGCGCCAACGCAUAAAGGAAGCUUCAAUUCCUGCCACAGAGAAAGUUUAUUGCCCGUACCCGAGGUGCUCCGCUUUAAUGUCAAAACGUGAACUUUUACAAGACAUGAAAUCGCGGGAUGUGGAACUAUCAGGAGUUCGAAAAUGCUUGAAAUGUCAGUGCCUUUUUUGUAUCAAUUGUAAAGUCCCUUGGCACAGAAACAGAACAUGCGCCGACUACAAAAGGUUGAAUCCUCAUCCCCCAGAAGAUACA
rnacentral:lncRNA from 1 species